UCUGUUACAAGAUCUUUCACAUCGGAGCAUAUUUACUUGCCUCAUUAUUUUUGAUACGUAUUACUCCAUGGUAUGUGAAGUGAGAGACUAUCUCAUUCCAGUAACUCAGAUGCUGAGAUGUGUACUGUCCCAUCUGAUCCUCAAGCACUACACCAUGUAUAUCUCUG
rnacentral:lncRNA from 1 species